GGCAAUAAAAAUAUAUAUUUUUAAAAACUACAUACAGGUGCUAAAAAUAAAGCCUCUUUUGCAACCCAGAACUCAUUGCUCAAUAUGAGUUUUGAUACAUAUAAGAAGGAACAUG